AGUGAACGCUGGCGAUAGGCCUAACACAUGCAAGUCGAACGGCAGCACAGUAAGAGCUUGCUCUUACGGGUGGCGAGUGGCGGACGGGUGAGGAAUACAUCGGAAUCUACUUUUUCGUGGGGGAUAACGUAGGGAAACUUACGCUAAUACCGCAUACGACCUACGGGUGAAAGCAGGGGAUCUUCGGACCUUGCGCGAUUGAAUGAGCCGAUGUCGGAUUAGCUAGUUGGCGGGGUAAAGGCCCACCAAGGCGACGAUCCGUAGCUGGUCUGAGAGGAUGAUCAGCCACACUGGAACUGAGACACGGUCCAGACGCCUACGGGAGGCAGCAGUGGGGAAUAUUGGGCAAUGGGGGCAAGCCUGAUCCAGCCAGACCGCGUGGGUGAAGAAGGCCUUCGGGUUGUAAAGCCCUUUUGUUGGGAAAGAAAAGCAGCAGGUUAAUACCCCGCUGUUCUGACGGUACCCAAAGAAUAAGCACCGGCUAACUUCGUG
rnacentral:rRNA from 1 species